UGGGGAAUAUUGGACAAUGGGGGAAACCCUGAUCCAGCGACGCCGCGUGGGUGAUGAAGGCCUUCGGGUCGUAAAGCCCUGUCUGGGGGGAAGAAUCUCUCGUCGGUGAACAAUCGGCGGGAUCGACGGUACCCCCGAAGGAAGCACCGGCUAACUCCGUGCCAGCAGCCGCGGUAAGACGGAGGGUGCAAGCGUUGCUCGGAAUUACUGGGCGUAAAGGGCGCGUAGGCGGUUCGCUAAGUUCGGUGUGAAAGCCCCCGGCUCAACUGGGGAAGGGCGCCGGAUACUGGCGGACUAGAGUACCGGAGAGGAGGGUGGAAUUCCUGGUGUAGCGGUGAAAUGCGUAGAUAUCAGGAGGAACACCGGUGGCGAAGGCGGCCCUCUGGACGGAUACUGACGCUGAGGCGCGAAAGCGUGGGGAUCAAACAG
rnacentral:rRNA from 1 species